CUCCGAUCAUACAUUAUUUUAGAUACUUUGACAUAUUGUCAAGCAUUGAAACUUUGAUAUUCAAAGUCAAAAUAUUUAUUGUCUUACGUUGGUGUAAAGUCUGAUGUCACGCUAAUGAGUCAGGUUUGCUUUCGUUUAUGGUCUGCAGUGUCGUGAUAGCACCCCGCCACGGAUUAGGUAGUUCAAAAAUGUUAUCUCAUGUAAUUUAUUAAAUCAAUAAUUUAUAAGAGAUAUUUCUUUUAUAUUGUCUGGUAUAACCUCAUGAUUUAUGGGGGUGCGUAUGAAAUCCUCAUCCGAGCGUCAAAGGAAGCAACAUUGUCUAAGGCUGGAAAACAUGAACGAGGUUUAUACCUUUUGACACCCAUAUCGAUACCUUUUCCUUCAACCCUUCUUCCUAUUUCACUAGAAAAGUAACCCUAGAAGUCUUCCAAGCCGCAUAGCCUUUUCCGCUACAAGGUUGUUAUCUUGAUUUAAAUCAAUCUCUUUGUUAAUCGAAACAGGUGUUACAAAAGACAAUGGCAGACUUGGGACCGAUGACACAACACAUAUAAGAGUGAUUCUGACAAGGACUGGGAGUCUGAGAUUGAUAUGCAAUAUAUAAAAAGACUUAGUAUCAUAAAAAGUAUAAGAAGAGUUUGUAUGAUGCGAUGCACUCGGAAACAUCUGGCCAUUAUCGGACCUUUCUUCUCUCGCUUUCUCAGCCCAAAUCAUUAAGGCGAUGAUCGGCUUCUGGUACCAAGGGCUCAAGAUCACACAUGGGAAGCACAAUGGUAUCACAAUGCAGAGUUAUGUGGAUGGUCGACAUCGACACCGUGACGAGGUUAGUUUUUUUAAAGGAUUACGGAGUUGUAGUGGUUGAUUAUUUUAUGGUCACAUAUUCUAUUGAGUUUUUCAUUGUCAUGAAAGUGAAUCAUGAUGUUGUUGGAGAUAUAGAAAAAAAUGGCUAAAGAUUCGGUGGGAAGGAUGAAAGUGGUCUAUGGAUGGAGGUUCGUUUUAUCAUAGACACUUGAUUUUUGCUAUACAAAGUUUUGAGAACUAAAAUACGAUUUAUAUUUGCAAUUAUCUAUAUUUAGGUAUGUUAACCAUGCAAUGUUAGUAGUCAAGAUCCUCUAUCGGUUAUUACACAUUGUAUUUGACUUAGCAAUUUGUCAACUAUUGGAGUUGGCAUACCUUCAAGUUUGACUUUGAUCGAUUGAUAUAACUUUAAUGUGAUUAUAUAUAAAGGGCAGAACUGCAGUAGCUCUGGGGUAUUUUGUCCGGGUUUGAUGUGAAGGCAGCAGAUGACGUGCGGCUAUGGAAGUCGAGAGACGUAAAAUAGGACUUUUUAGAAAAAACAUGUAAGGCGGAUUUGGUAGGCGCAGAGCAGAUUCAGGUUCAGCAAGCGGCGUUCAAAUGAUUCAAGUAUGUUGUCUUUAAAUGUGAUUUAGAUUUUGGGUUCAAGAGCAUUGGUUGUUUCGUUUGUUUUGUUGUAUAUAAUGAUAAUAAAGAAAAAAAACCUAGAUUUUUAUUGACCCAAAUGGCAA